rnacentral:tRNA from 2 species
GCGCGAGUGGCGGAAUUGGCAGACGCGCUAGAUUUAGGUUCUAGUGUCUUCGGGCGUGUGGGUUCAAGUCCCACCUUGCGCACCA